GAUGAACGCUGGCGGCGUGCCUAAUACAUGCAAGUCGAGCGAACGGACGAGAAUCUUGCUUCUCUGAUGUUAGCGGCGGACGGGUGAGUAACACGUGGAUAACCUACCUAUAAGACUGGGAUAACUUCGGGAAACCGGAGCUAAUACCGGAUAAUAUUUUGAACCUCAUGGUUCAAAAGUGAAAUACGUUCUUGCUGUCACUUAUAGAUGUAUCCGCGCUGCAUUAGCUAGUUGGUAAGGUAACGGCUUACCAAGGCAACGAUGCAUAGCCGACCUGAGAGGGUGAUCGGCAACACUGGAACGGAGACACGGUCAAGACUACUACGGGAGGCAGCAGUAGGGAAUAUUCCGCAAUGGGCGAAAGCCUGACGGAGCAACGCCGCGUGAGUGAUGAAGGUCUUCGGAUCGUAAAACUCUGUUAUUAGGGAAGAACAUAUGUGUAAGUAAAUGUGCACAUCUUGACGGUACCUAAACAGAAAGCAACGGCUAACUACGUG
rnacentral:rRNA from 1 species